GCUUUAUAUCUGAGUUUUAAAUGCUGUGCAAGUGCCUGUGCUUUCUACUGGCUUAUACAGGAGAGCAAAGCUUUCAAAAUAUGUUGCAGGGAUAAACAAAAAUCAGCAUGGUUAAAGGGUGUAUGCUAAUUCCAUUUUAAGUACUUAUAAAAACCUUAUCCAUAAGGCAAACCAACUUCCUUCACGCAGUAGUUACUACCAUUCAACUGAGAAUACAGGCACUUUUACAAAUGGAUUCAAGAGUUAUUUAAUUUCACUUUAACUUCUGUAAGUAACUCUUUAUCCCUUGCUGACAUGCCAUUUUAUUAUUUUAUUAUUUACAGCAGUACUUGUUCAUAAAUCAAAUCCAUACACCUCUUAAGAUAAUAGCAAAACACAAAAAAGCAAAAAAGAAUUUUCCUUUUGAAUCCAAAAAUUCCAAGAAUAUGUGUUUCUACAAAUUAUACUGUUGGUCCCUGGCACAAGCCCUUUCUGACUGGGCACCAGACCCUUAACCCCUGAAGUACAAAUCACUACGGUAUUUCCAUUUAUUUGCACUGCCACAUUCCUGGGACAUUACUGAUCUUGAAGGGAAGCCUGUCACAUUCAGGAAAAUUUAGGGGAAACAAUUGGGAGUUUAAAAGAAUUAGACUCAUUAUAUUUUUGUGACUUAUACUAACUACUUUUACCUUCUAUGUAGCAAACUUGAAUAUAUUUAUUCUAUUUGAUCUCCUUCAAAAAAGUUGGGGUGCUCAAAGUGGUGUAUAUAUUUGGGAUUUUAAAUUUUUUGAAUAAAAAAGACUCCAUAUUUCAUGAGGAAAAGACAUGGUUCCAUUUAGAUUUUGUGCUUCAAAAAAUGUAUUUGCUGAUAUACAAUGGAGCUGUCAUAAGUCAAAGUUAAAUGAGAGGCAGCAUUUGGAUAAUAAAAAAUAUGGUUAAUAAGAAAUGAUCAGCAUGUAAUUUGCUCAGGUCCUCUGGAGAAAUACAGAUAUAAAUUGGAAAUCAGUAUUAAGGGCACUGUACAACACAGUAUUGGUUUGAACUAUACCUCCAAAGGGUUCAAUAGCAGAUGUGGGGGGGAACUAUUUGCAAGCACCUUACACUUCUCUUGGAUAAUUUUUACACAUGAUAUGAACUCAAAUCCUUGCCCAACUCUUCAGUUACUCUGACUAUGCAGUAAUCUUACUUGGCAUGAACAAGGUCUGAUGCUGUCACAGAGAAAAGUACAAUUUUACAGCGGGAAGCAGCAUCAGAAACCAACUUGUCCAGCACAUUGUUAUUCAGCCCAGAGAAAUUAAGUUCUUUGCCUAAAGUCCUAAAAUAGUAAUGAAGUCUUUUCAUUUUGGGUUCUAGGCUCUAUAUCAACUUCACCAGCAUAUAUGGAUACUGGGGAAUAAUUGUGGGACAGUAAAGGCUGGCUGCACCAUGCAAUAAAAAUCAAUGAAGCAAGAUGCUGGUUGAUUUGUGGUUGUGGCUGAUUUACAAAGUCCUUCUCCCUGGUAAUUUACUAGAUCAAGGUAGCUUCUAUAAACCCAACCUGAAUGAAUAUGGAGUAAUACAGGAUUUGAGUUCCUGAGAUCUCCUAGACAUAAAAGAAGGAAGCAAGAUGCAAUAAUCAUUACCUGAUGACAGUCUACACCUUUACUCAAUCACAGACACACACACAAGUCAGACCUAGAACUACAU
rnacentral:lncRNA from 1 species